CAACCACUUUCACUUUAUAAACAAGAUUAAAGCACUAAAAGGUAAAGUUUACUCAACCCGCUUUUUCUUUUCUUGUCAACUACAAAAUGAAAUGUCAGCGAUCAAUAAUACGGUAUCCAAUUUGAUAGAUGUUCAAUAAUAACGACUCAGGACUUUUUUCUCUUUCAAUUUGUGGGAAAUCUAUAGGGCGCGCUGUUCAAACUGUUUAAUAUAUUGGUCUUAUGUUCUCCAGUACUGAAAUGAAUCAAUGGCAAAAGUUAAAAGAGACAAAGUAGUGAGUUAAGAGCUAAGUUAUAGAUCUACUGAAACCGUCUGUUUUAUUUUAACUAUGAAGAAGAAUAAAAG